GUGGAUUUUUGGUUCGUAAUCAAGUUUGUUUGAUUUGCAAUUUUAUACGUUUUUCCAACCUAGCGUGUUAGCGUCAAUCUUAGUCUUCUGUGUUCCUAUUGGAUGAAGAGAUUGUCAUGUCCAAUCAGAGGCGCUGACGUGUCUGGUGAAAAUGUCCCGAGGCUCUAGAGAAGAGGAGGACUAGUCCGAGGAAGAGGGAGGCUGAGCGACAACUUUGACUCAAAGUAGAAUAAGUGGAAGCAGAGUCUACUUUCUGUUUGUGACAACGUCAUACUUUGGACCAGAGAAGUCCAUCCAUUCUGGACCCUGUCGGCGGACCUCCAAGCUCCCCGGAUGACAGGAGGGCGCGUGCUCAUCCGGCGCCGCCUCGCCUCGUGUGAAGCCCGCCUUGGCAUGUGCCGUCCACUGAAGGUCGCGUGACACGGUCUUCAGGUGGAACCGCAGCAUCUGGACUCAGAAUCCUCUGUAAAGAACAUUUAGUGGGAAAGCAGCUGAUGGUGAAACAGGUUUGAAGUUUUCUUUUUGCUGCGUUUCUGUGCAGAUGGACCCGUCUGCGUUUCUGCGCAGAUGGAC
rnacentral:lncRNA from 1 species